rnacentral:rRNA from 1 species
GAGGUCGGGAGAGGGAUGCGGAAUUCCAGGUGUAGCGGUGAAAUGCGUAGAUAUCUGGAGGAACACCGGUGGCGAAGGCGGCAUCCUGGACCAACACUGACGCUGAGGAGCGAGAGCCAGGGGAGCAAACGGGAUUAGAUACCCCGGUAGUCCUGGCCCUAAACGAUGAAUGCUUGGUGUGGCGGGUAUCGAUCCCUGCCGUGCCGAAGCUAACGCAUUAAGCAUUCCGCCUGGGGAGUACGGUCGCAAGGCUGAAACUCAAAUGAAUUGACGG